rnacentral:rRNA from 1 species
AGUAGUGGGGGAUAACCCGGGGAAACUCGGGCUAAUACCGCAUACUCCCCAAGGGGGAAAGCGGGGGACCGCAAGGCCUCGCGCUAUUGGAUGAGCCCGCGUCCGAUUAGCUAGUUGGUGGGGUAAGGGCCUACCAAGGCGACGAUCGGUAGCUGGUCUGAGAGGACGACCAGCCACACUGGGACUGAGACACGGCCCAGACUCCUACGGGAGGCAGCAGUGGGGAAUAUUGGACAAUGGGGGAAACCCUGAUCCAGCAAUGCCGCGUGUGUGAAGAAGGCCUGCGGGUUGUAAAGCACUUUCGGCGGGAAAGAAAAGUUGUGCGUUAAUACCGCGCGACCUUGACGUUACCCGCAAAAGAAGCACCGGCUAACUCCGUGCCAGCAGCCGCGGUAAUACGGAGGGUCCGAGCGUUAAUCGGAAUUACUGGGCGUAAAGCGCACGUAGGCGGUCUGGUCAGUCGAUGGUGAAAGCCCCACGCUCAACGUGGGAAGGUCCGUCGAGACGGCCAGACUGGAGGCAGGGAGAGGUCGGUGGAAUUCCGGGUGUAGUGGUGAAAUGCGUAGAGAUCCGGAGGAACACCAGAGGCGAAGGCGGCCGACUGGACCUGACCUGACGCUGAGGCGCGAAGGCGUGGGGAGCGAACGGGAUUAGAUACCCCGGUAGUCCACGCGGUAAACGAUGUGUACUGGGUAUGGCGGGAGUUGACCCCUGCCGUGCCGGCGCUAACGCAGUAAGUACACCGCCUGGGGAGUACGGCCGCAAGGCUAAAACUCAAAGGAAUUGACGGGGCCCCGCACAAGCAGCGGAGCGUGUGGUUUAAUUCGACGCAACGCGCAAAACCUUACCAGGG